CGCGUAGGUGGGAUAGUCAGUCUGUCUUAAAGUUCGGGCUCAACCCCGUGAUGGGGCGGAAACUGCUAUUCUUGAGUGCAGGAGAGGAAAGCGGAAUUCCCAGUGUAGCGGUGAAAUGCGUAGAUAUUGGGAGGAACACCAGUGGCGAAGGCGGCUUUCUGGACUGUGUCUGACACUGAGGCGCGAAAGCUAGGGGAGCGAACGGGAUUAGAUACCCCGGUAGUCCUAGCCGUAAACGAUGGGUACUAGGUGUAGGGGGUAUCGACCCCUCCUGUGCCGGAGUUAACGCAAUAAGUACCCCGCCUGGGGAGUACGGCCGCAAGGUUGAA
rnacentral:rRNA from 1 species